UGAGGAAUAUUGGUCAAUGGGCGCUAGCCUGAACCAGCCAAGUAGCGUGAAGGAUGAAGGCUCUAUGGGUCGUAAACUUCUUUUAUAUAAGAAUAAAGUGCAGUAUGUAUACUGUUUUGUAUGUAUUAUAUGAAUAAGGAUCGGCUAACUCCGUGCCAGCAGCCGCGGUAAUACGGAGGAUCCGAGCGUUAUCCGGAUUUAUUGGGUUUAAAGGGAGCGUAGGUGGACUGGUAAGUCAGUUGUGAAAGUUUGCGGCUCAACCGUAAAAUUGCAGUUGAUACUGUCAGUCUUGAGUACAGUAGAGGUGGGCGGAAUUCGUGGUGUAGCGGUGAAAUGCUUAGAUAUCACGAAGAACUCCGAUUGCGAAGGCAGCUCACUGGACUGCAACUGACACUGAUGCUCGAAAGUGUGGGUAUCAAACA
rnacentral:rRNA from 2 species